CACCAUGCAGUCGAACGGAAGGCCCUGCUUGCAGGGUACUCGAGUGGCGAACGGGUGAGUAACACGUGGGUGAUCUGCCCUGCACUUCGGGAUAAGCCUGGGAAACUGGGUCUAAUACCGGAUAGGAGCCAUUUUUAGUGUGAUGGUUGGAAAGUUUUUUCGGUGUAGGAUGAGCUCGCGGCCUAUCAGCUUGUUGGUGGGGUAAUGGCCUACCAAGGCGGCGACGGGUAGCCGGCCUGAGAGGGUGGACGGCCACAUUGGGACUGAGAUACGGCCCAGACUCCUACGGGAGGCAGCAGUGGGGAAUAUUGCACAAUGGGCGCAAGCCUGAUGCAGCGACGCCGCGUGGGGGAUGACGGCCUUCGGGUUGUAAACUCCUUUCGCUAGGGACGAAGCUUUUUGUGACGGUACCUAGAUAAGAAGCACCGGCUAACUACGUGCCAGCAGCCGCGGUAAUACGUAGGGUGCGAGCGUUGUCCGGAAUUACUGGGCGUAAAGGGCUCGUAGGUGGUUUGUCGCGUCGUCUGUGAAAUUCCGGGGCUUAACUCCGGGCGUGCAGGCGAUACGGGCAUAACUUGAGUACUGUAGGGGUAACUGGAAUUCCUGGUGUAGCGGUGAAAUGCGCAGAUAUCAGGAGGAACACCGAUGGCGAAGGCAGGUUACUGGGCAGUUACUGACGCUGAGGAGCGAAAGCAUGGGUAGCGAACAGGAUAAAC
rnacentral:rRNA from 1 species